GGAGAAGAUUGCAGAUCGGGAGGUGGUCUGCAAGGACCCUCCAAUCCUUCUGGGCCUAACCAACCCGGAACAAGAGAUACCAGCCCGCCCGGCAGGAAGUAAGCUCUCGGCGGCUGCCUCCAGAAGCACGCGAUGGCGGAUAGAAUACUUCCGAGGCGCACGAAAUUCUCUGAAUAAAGCUGUGCAACAUAAAACCGA